UACGGAGGGGGCUAGCGUUGUUCGGAAUUACUGGGCGUAAAGCGCACGUAGGCGGCGAUUUAAGUCAGAGGUGAAAGCCCGGGGCUCAACCCCGGAAUAGCCUUUGAGACUGGAUUGCUUGAACAUCGGAGAGGUGAGUGGAAUUCCGAGUGUAGAGGUGAAAUUCGUAGAUAUUCGGAAGAACACCAGUGGCGAAGGCGGACCCACUGGAUCGGUAUGACGCUGAGGUGCGAAAGCGUGGGGAGCAAACAGGG
rnacentral:rRNA from 1 species